GCUCACUUUGGAAGCAAAUACUAAAAUUGGAAUAAUACAGAGAAUAUUAUCAUGGCCCCUUGCACAAGGAUGACACACAAAUUUGUGAAGUGCUCUAUAUUUUUU
rnacentral:snRNA from 1 species